GGUACGUCUGCUGGAAACUCGGAAAAAUCACAGCGAAGGGUAGCAGAAUUGAUCAACAGUGGCAACGUGAGUCGAAAUAGUUCCAACGGCACAAUCGAUAUUUGUCGUCUCCGCCGGAGGCUCGCGGUUACUCCUGGUUCCGGAUGUGGAAAGUAUGAUGCACAAUGGUCCGUUGUUAUUGUAUAAUAUAAUAGAAUCUUUUAAAUUUCAGUUUCAAUUUCUAGUGCGGUAAGUAUCAGCAGCUUUGGGGAUUGUCAGGAAUGUUUCAUGUGUAAAGUGGUCCCGACACCAAAAUGUUGGAGCACGGCUGCUGUGACUUACCAUUCUAGAAGUGGAAUCGGGAGGCAAGAAAGAUGUGCUCUUGCAUUUUGGUAGAGAUUGUCAAGUAGCCCUCAUGAAACGUUUAGUGGGCACCACCCGUGCAUCGCGGGUGGUGUCAUGGCUGACGCUCGUGACUGACACCAACUUACAGCCCGGGGACUCGGUGUAUAUUCUGAUGGAUGUCUGAUGGACGAUGAGGUCCUCGUCCUCUGUAAUCGACAGGAUGAAUUCCACCACUGGCUUCCCACACAAGAGACCAGAUCUGCCAUCCUGGGAUAAAACCCCGCUGAUCACAGACAGAGGCCGCUGUCACCAAUUUGCCUUCUCACCAUUCCGCAGGCCAGAGGUCUGCGAUCAGGUGUGGCCAGGGCCGUGUUCUCGCAGGAGGCUCCAGGGGAGGACCCUUCCUCACCUUCCCCAGAUUCUGUGGUGCCCACCCAUCCUUGGCGUUCCUUGGUUUACGACUUCCGCGUCCAUCAUACGUUGUUUGCUCUGUACAUCUGUCUUCCUGAGACGUUCUCUUCUCCGCCUGUCUUCUGCCGUUCUUACAAGGACACCAGUCACAUGGGACCAAGGGCCCACGCUAAUCCAGGAUGACCUCGUCGUAGUCUAACUAACUGCAUCCGCGGAGACCCUAUUUCCAAAUGUGGGCACCUGCACAGGUGGCCAGCACAAGGUGGCUCCUCGUGGUUGGGACCGAGGUGUCCAGAGGUCCCGGUCUUCUUGCCGGCUGUCACGGGCUGCCGUCAGCCCCCAGAGCCCACGAGCGCAAUUACAAUUUGGCAAAGCUCAGGACGGACGGAUUAGGGAGCUGUUUGUUCCGGUAGUUACCGCACCCCGAGGGGUCACCCCCACCGCGGUCUCCCACAACGCCAGCUCCUGUCCACACUGCAGGAUGCUUCUCUCUACCGCGAUGGGCCACCCCUCCGAGGAGCAUCCAACAGAGGAAAUGGCCCCGGAGAGCCACACGUCCAGGAGGUACGUGUACAGCCGAGCGCAGGGCUUUGUCCCCUCAUCAGGGGGGUGGCUGCCAGCCGCUGGCAUCCCGUGGGUCACAUCUUACAACCCUACAGGCAACACAUCUUCCCCGUUGGCCAAAAUAGCACUCAGGAAACGUCACUCGGGAUCCCAGCUUGUGUCACUGCCCCCUCCGGGGCCCGGCCUCAAGCACAUCACACCCUCAUCCCUGGGACACACACGGAGCUGGGAAGGACACAACAGAAGCGGGAAGCUGGGCAGGCGGAGACAACACACAGACAUUUUGUUUUGGUUUGUGGCUCCCUGAGCGUCCCUCGUGCAGACAGAACGGCCGAGAAGCAUGCGUUUGGGGCGGUGCGGAUGCCGCAGGGCCUCACGUCGGAAAGCAGUGUCUGGCAUUGGGGGGGGGGGGGUGCCUUGAGCACCCCCACCCCGCCCCCACCCGUUACUCACCAGCCGUGGGACCUGUGAGAAUCACCAGCUUUCCUCACCCGUGGCAUCGUGGCCAUAAUCGUGCCACGGCGGCCAGCAGCCACCAGACUAGGUGACUGGAUGCUGUGAGGACAGAGCCUUGUCUCCCACGCGGAUCCGACCAAUAAACCCUACUCUUGUGACCAUCUCGGGAGUCUAAUGCCUCUCGGAACGUAUUUCCGGAAAAGGUGGGCAGUGGAGAAAGAAUGGAUUUUGGAGCUGGCCUCUAGGUCUGUGGGGAGCUUUCUUUCACUUUUGGUGGGGGUGGUAUAUUUCACUGAGGAAUGCUUUUGCUUUCACGAAGAGUGCCUGGGUGGCAAAUAUCUUUCUUUUGCUCUCAAAGCAAACAAGAGUCUGGCUGAGUGUACAAUUCUGAUAUUUCCGCUCUUUCUCUCAAAAUCUCUGUAACCACUGCUUCUGAAAUCGAGGGUCUCCACAAGGACCUCGGUGGCAGUCUGAUGGUCUCCCCUCCCGCGUGGGAGCGUCGUGGAGUCGCCUUCCACGUGGGGGGAUGAAGAGAACUCGCCAGCGUGCAUGCGUGUGGGUGACUUUCCCCCGGACUCUGCCGUGACCCUCGCGUGUUUGCCAGCUUCGGGGGAACGUGCGCAUAUUGCCGUAUCGUAUAUUCGCGCACUGUGUCUCCAGCGUCUGCACAAGCACUGCUGGUCAGCUGUCGCCAGUGCUUUGCAACAAGCCGCCCCACCCAAUGGGGAACGAUCAUGAGCGUGUGCUGUCCUGCUCACGGGCUAGCACAGCCUCGAGCUGCAGGGCUGCGGUCAGCGAGGAGGCCUCUCCUCUGCGACCAGCUACUGCAGCCACGUCCUCCGGUGCCUACGGGAGAUGUUCAAGGGCAAAGCAAACCAUGUGGCUCAAAUCAACACCAACAGGACCAAGAAAUAUGUGCUUCCUGUAGCGGGGAAAGUCCCGAGUCACACGGCUCAGGGUGUGGGUGCAGGGAGGGCUGAGCCUCAGCGACAGGAAAGUGUCUGCUCAUUCAGAAUAUGGAUGUGGGUUCCUGGUUAACAUCACCCAUGCCUCUGACUCUUGCCCCUGUGGUCUCUCUCUCUCUCCCUCCCGUCUCCCUGUCCCUCCUUCUCUCCCUCCCAUCUUAAUUCCAAGUGAAUUGUAUGUAGUAGUCUCCUAAUUCUGUAAUUUGGUUCCGAGCAUAAAAUCAGGAACAAAAAUAAGCCAUAAGCCAGGGAGAAUUGUUUAAUUUCACUACUAAUCAAAGAAACGUGAAUGACGAUCCGCAGAAUCACAUUGUCAGCUGGACCCUGAGUCUGGGACCCAGGGAGUGCCCCUCGCGGGAAAGACACCCCCCAUGGAGGGGUGGAGACGCCCCUUCUCUGAUGGUUCUAGCCUGCUCCCCUCCCCCACGUCAGAUGCCUGUUCGCCAGAGCCUCUGGUUGGUGCCAGAGAACCUUCCGUUUGCCACACGGAACCGGAGCCUCCACUCUUCGUGCUGAGAUGGAGCUAUCGGAUCUGGUGCCACUCGUCCCCACACUUGACUACUGAGCCCUUGAGAGUGGCUGCUCCGAGCUGAGACACACGUACAAUACCUCAUCAUGCACUUUGUACUCAUUACACACUGACACGAGGGCAUUUGGAGACACUGAGUUGCACAAUAUAUUGAGAUUAAUUAAUUUUAAAAUUAAUUUCAGCUGGGGCCCCUGGGUGGCUCAGUCGGUUGAGUGUCU